UGGCAAAAUGAUUGCACAGGUUCUGGCCUAGGAAUAAUUUAACCACGUCCACAAGCUACGCGAUCGACGCCGUGUAUUCUGUCGAGAAUCUCCAUCCACUGGACGGAGCCAUUUCCAGGACGACAACUUUCGUCACGGGACUCCCCAUAAAAACUGCUACACCCGCACAAGACUACACGCAGGGGUCAAUCUCAGACGGGGAUGGUGGCUCCAUGUGCUGCUGUUGGUUGGGCCCGGCUCGAGUGGCUGCUUUGGCAGAGGGAAAGAGAGCGAGAUCAUAUGAAUGAGGCCAAAGUUACGAGCAGCAACAGCACGUGAAACAGUCCAAGGCAUCCUUUGGAUUCACCAGAAGUGGUCACAUCCCAGAUUUUCAUUGCGACAAAGGAGGCGGGCAGCCAGGGAUUUGCCAAACAUCAAAGGCUAGUAGUUUUUCUUUUAUUUUUUAUUUUUUGUUUCUAGGAAAUGUUCUUUAUGCAGCCGCUUAUACCUUGUCUACGAAUCGCUGAAGCUCAAGGCGCAUAUGCAAUGUAUUUAUGCAUCAGGAACUGAAGAGCGUGAACUUCUUCGGCCCGCUACCAAACUUUAGUUCGAUCGCAAGGCCAGAGGAAGAACGUCGAGCCACUUUUCUGGUGUGCAAAAUCACCCUCAACGCACCCGCGUCCCUGCAAAGUACCCGCUUCUAACGGCCAGCAGCGAUCAUCGUAGCCGCAUGCCAAGACUUUGUCGAGAAGAACUGUGCCGCGGCCAAUGAGGUUAUCGUAGAGCGAGUGGUCGUUCCGAACCUCCACACUGAUCUCCUGGCACCCCGGGAUCACUAACGCCACGAACUUCUUGUUAAACACAGGAUUCACGCCACCAUCUGCCACAGUGAUACGCUUCCAUCAUCAGCUCGAAUUUUCUCAUCAAGCACAAGAAGAACUCACGCCGGAGAACUCUGGUUCCAAACUUGUUGGAUCCGUACUCCAAUUUCACGAAAGGAUCUUGCUUGCCAAUCCAUUCGGUGUUCUUCAAAUUUUUCCCAUCGAGAACUAAAACCACCACCAACAUUGUAGCUAAAAUUCCAACGCAACAAACGUACCAUUGAUGUCGAGUUUCCA